GCUUGUCUCAAAGAUUAAGCCAUGCAUGUCUAAGUAUAAACAAAUCUAUACUGUGAAACUGCGAAUGGCUCAUUAUAUCAGUUAUAGUUUAUUUGAUGGUUCUUGCUACUUGGAUAACCGUAGUAAUUCUAGAGCUAAUACAUGCAUCAAACCCCGACUUCUGGAAGGGGUGUAUUUAUUAGAUGGAAACCAAUGCGGGGCAACCCGGAUUCUGGUGAUUCAUAAUAACUUUCGGAUCGAUCCUCGGAUCGAUGCAUCAUUCAAAUUUCUGCCCUAUCAAUUUGAUGGUAGGAUAGAGGCCUACCAUGGUGGUAACGGGUGACGGAGAAUUAGGGUUCGAUUCCGGAGAGGGAGCCUGAGAAACGGCUACCACAUCCAAGGAAGGCAGCAGG
rnacentral:rRNA from 1 species